AUUUUCCAGAUUUCCGGAGCUCUCCUAGGUUCACUGUUCUUCUUCUUCUCUUCACCCACUCCAAAUUAAAUAAGUACAUAAAUAUGUAUAUAUAAUGAAAUAAAAUUCUUCGCCUUAUCAAUCAGCUGAAUUUCCAUCCAGCUGAAGAAGAUCUAUAUAGCUAAAUUAUACACAGACAUUCAACGUAUUGUACAUAGAAGAUAGGGGGUUCUGGUUGGUAGAGCUGCUUGGGACUUCUGCGAGCUUGGCAUCCUCUCAUUGCCUUUUUUAGUUUCAAGAACUUUGUUCUUGAUGUAUAUGUAUAAUUAGAAUGGUUGAGCCAUAUUGAUGAGGUUGCAUUGCAUAGAGAGUUUAAACUGAAAGGGAAAGCUUAAAAGUUGACAUUAUGGGUUCUGUUUGUUCCUGCCUGCAUGCUGAGGAUUUUGAGGACUACAUGAAUCCAAACAGUAAUAUUUUUAGAAAUUGUUUGUGCCUCGGUUGCUUCUAUCAGAAUUUUAUACUCACGUGUACCACAUUAUUUCGACGAGGAAAGCUGCACUCUGUCCCUUCAUCCAUUCAGGGAACAGCAUCUAUGAACUCUUCUGCACCACGAGACAACUCACUUUCUGACAUGUACUGUUCUACUCCAAGGCCCUUGCCUUGUGAUGCUGACACCAGAUAUUUUCGCUUACAACGUAAUGGCCUUGUUUCAAGACAUGAGAAGGGUUCAAGUCAUUCCCAAGGGGAAUUGGAGCCUUUAAGAGGUGAAGAUGAUGCAGGUCUGGAUUCUUUGAGUAGAGGAGAAAAAUGGAAUGCUUGUGAACAAGGCUCAACUGAGCAGCAUUCCAAAUCCUCACAACUCUCAUCAACAAAAAAAUCGGUUGGAAUUGAGAACAUCUAUUCACGGAUAGAAGAGGAGGAUGUCUGUCCAACAUGUCUUGAAGUUAAGUCAUUUUUCUUGACAAUGACGAUGCUGCAGUGGUGUCUGAUGUGCUUUUCCUGGCAUGCAUCAGUACUGAAUAUACUGCAGAGAAUCGGAAGAUAAAAACAAAGUGUUCCCACCAUUUCCAUCUUGGUUGCAUUUAUGAAUGGAUGGAGAGAAGUGAUCACUGUCCAGUCUGUGGGAAGGUCAUGGCGUUUGAUGAAACGACCUAAUCCUGCUUGAAAGUUUUUGUUACGGAUGAUAACAAGCGACAACCGAAGAUAGAAAGUAAGGGAAGACAUCUAGAGUCCUUUGUGAAUAAUUCAGGACUAGGUGAUUGUCUCAUACCAUAAAUAUGAAAGUGUUUUGUAUAAAGAUUUUAAUUCCAUUGUCCUUGUAACCCUUAAAGUGGGGGGAAAAGAAAUCAUAUGCAUGAUUAUUGGAAAACUAAGUGUGGAUUCUUUUUUA